UACGUAGGGCGUAAGCGUUGUCCGGAAUUAUUGGGCGUAAAGAGCUCGUAGGCGGUUUGUCGCGUCUGCUGUGAAAACCUAAGGCUCAACCUUGGGCUUGCAGUGGGUACGGGCAGACUAGAGUGCGGUAGGGGUGACUGGAAUUCCUGGUGUAGCGGUGGAAUGCGCAGAUAUCAGGAGGAACACCGAUGGCGAAGGCAGGUCACUGGGCCGCAACUGACGCUGAGGAGCGAAAGCAUGGGGAGCGAACAGG
rnacentral:rRNA from 1 species